rnacentral:lncRNA from 1 species
GCCACCACACUACCAACAACAGAUUCAAGUUGAUACAAAUGGGAACAUAACAAAAUAAACAUCACAUGAUAGAAGAAAGAAAACUGUAAAGCCUAUGUAGCUUCAUCACAACAUGCGACACGUUUUGCAAGGGUUCUAGAAUGAAUUAUUAGGAUUCAUGCAUGUUCAUAAAAGCUUAAAUAGCACUCUCUAGGCAGAGAGCUCUUUUGCACCAAAAUAUCACUUUGGGAGGCAUCAUAACACACAUUGGCCAAAGUGGAGUUGAACGUGUAGUAGAACAUUUCCCAAAGUCAGCAUUUUAUUUGGGGUCCAUCAGAGUUCAACAAGAAAAAAGGAAAUGAAUCAGAAAACUAUCGUUCAACAAAAUCAUAGUUUAAAACCAAGAUCGUAGUUUCAACAAAAUAUUCAGUAACCAGUUCAACUUCACCACAGAAAAAAGAAAAACAGAAGUUACAAUACCGCAUAAACAUGGCCUCAGAAUUGCAGAAUAUCAGCAAGGCCAAUAGGUGCCUAUCAGUCCCGAAAGAUGGUGUACAAGGAUCAAGCAUAUCUUCACAGGCCAAAAUAAUUCAACAUUAUUGAAGGUUAAAACAGAAAACACACAAUAUUUAAUAAAACAAUUCCAAAUUAGACAACAAUAAAAAAAUGCCUCAGAAUUGUAGGAUUACAACAGCAUGGAUACAAAAGUCCAAUCAGUCCCGAAAGAUGGUAUUUGGUUCUUAGAUUUCUUCAUAGGCAAAGAUACACAUAAAAAUCACUGACAAACAAAGAAAAGACCAACAGACAACACACCAACAAUAUUAUCAGGAAGUCCAAAACAGAGAAAUCUAGGAAUGACCCAGAAUCCAUGAUAACACCGUGCUUGUGAACACUAAUAAAUUCCCUCUGUUGAAAGAUGACCACAAUGAGGAGAUUGCUACUAUCACUUUUUAUCUAUAACUUCAGACAAUAAAGAACAAUUUUGUCAUAAGAAAGAACUAGCAAUGCCUCAGAAUUGCAGAAUAACAACAUGGCCACAAAGUGCCAAUCAGUCCCGAAAGAUGGUGUGUUAUCAGGAUCAAAUGCAUCUUCAUAGGCCAACAUAUUUAAUAUAACAAAAGGCACAAAAUGGAAAACAAAAGUGAGAUGUACUCAAGAAUCUACUCAAUAAUGUGAGACGUACUAAAGUCUCCUGUUGAUAAAACAAUUCUAAAUAAGAAGAAAAACAACAAAACACCACAGAUUAAGGAUUUUACAACAAUGAUAAGGCGAACUGAGCCAGAAAAAAGUGUUUUUAUUGUUAAAUUUGUUCUAAGGAAAACAGUAAUUAAAUUUACAAAUGGCAAAGCACAUUAACAACUGACCGAAUUCUAGUAAGAAAAUACUGAAUCAAUAAAAUCUAGAAACGAAAGAGCCCUGAUUGUCAGGUACCCUACUCAUUCCUCGAAUACACUUUCUAGGAUAAAUGCAUAACUUAGCAAAGGCUGGAUAAGUACUGUCAAAUGCCGAAUCAAAGAAAUACCGAUAAAUGGAGCGAUGAUAAUAUGAAGCUGAUGACAACCAUUAAGUAUAACAAAUUUCCAAGGCUUUCUUAAUUCCAGCAUACAGACCAAGAGACAUGGGACCAAAUAAAAACAUCCUAAAUGCCGAUUACGAAAUAUCACUGAUAAUUAUAAUUGAAGUACUGAAAACAAGAACAGAUAGUUUUAGCUGCUAAUUGUUCAAUAGGAACAAGAAAAUCAAACGUACUCAUAACAGUAUUUCUUUGCUAGAAGAUAUAACAGAAGUUACUGCAUUUAUGUGGAUAUCAGCUUGUAGAAACCAAAUACAGGUUCGAUUGUUCCAUCAAAUAAUGCAAGAAGAAAAGCGGACUCGUUAACAAGACAUCCUAGGUAAAAAGAUAAAAUAAGAUGAACCCUAAAUUUUUGUGAUGACAGCACCGCCAAGGCAUGUUAAGUGCACGGGUUUGUUGGGCAAACACCAUAAA